AUUGAACGCUGGCGGUAUGCUUAACACAUGCAAGUCGAACGGUAGCAGGCCUUCGGGCGCUGACGAGUGGCGGACGGGUGAGUAACGCGUAGGAAUCUGCCUCAUAGUGGGGGACAACGUGUGGAAACGCACGCUAAUACCGCAUACGCCCUACGGGGGAAAGCGGGGGACCUUCGGGCCUCGUGCUAUGAGAUGAGCCUGCGUUAGAUUAGCUAGUUGGUAGGGUAAAGGCCUACCAAGGCGACGAUCUAUAGCUGGUCUGAGAGGACGAUCAGCCACACUGGGACUGAGACACGGCCCAGACUCCUACGGGAGGCAGCAGUGGGGAAUAUUGGACAAUGGGCGCAAGCCUGAUCCAGCAAUACCGCGUGUGUGAAGAAGGCCCUAGGGUUGUAAAGCACUUUCAAUAGGGAGGAAAACCUGUCGGUCAAUACCCGGCAGCUUGACAUUACCUAUACAAGAAGCACCGGCUAACUCCGUGCCAGCCGCCGCAGUAAAAC
rnacentral:rRNA from 1 species